rnacentral:rRNA from 1 species
GAUGAACGCUAGCUACAGGCUUAACACAUGCAAGUCGAGGGGCAGCGCAGUGUAGCAAUACAUGGGCGGCGACCGGCGCACGGGUGCGUAACGCGUAUCCAACUUCCCGUUAUCUUGGAUAGCCUUCCGAAAGGGAGAUUAAUACAAGAUGGUAUUUAAAUUCCGCAUGUUAUUUGAACUAAAGAUUUAUCGGUAACGGAUGGGGAUGCGUGACAUUAGGUAGUUGGGGGGUGUAACGGACCACCAAGCCGACGAUGUCUAGGGGUUCUGAGAGGAAGGUCCCCCACACUGGUACUGAGACACGGACCAGACUCCUACGGGAGGCAGCAGUGAGGAAUAUUGGUCAAUGGGCGAGAGCCUGAACCAGCCAAGUCGCGUGAGGGAAGACGGUACUAAGUAUUGUAAACCUCUUUUGUCAGGGAACAAAGAGACCACGUGUGGUAAGAUGAGUGUACCUGAAGAAAAAGCAUCGGCUAACUCCGUG